GAACGCUGGCGGUAUGCUUAACACAUGCAAGUCGAACGGCAGCACAGGAUAGCUUGCUAUCCGGGUGGCGAGUGGCGGACGGGUGAGUAACGCGUAGGAAUCUACCUUUUCGUGGGGGAUAACCCGGGGAAACUCGGGCUAAUACCGCAUACGCCCUACGGGGGAAAGCGGGGGACCUUCGGGCCUCGCGCGGAAUGAUGAGCCUGCGUCCUAUCAGGUAGUUGGUGAGGUAAUGGCCCACCAAGCCGACGACGGGUAGCUGGUCUGAGAGGACGACCAGCCACACUGGGACUGAGACACGGCCCAGACUCCUACGGGAGGCAGCAGUGGGGAAUAUUGGACAAUGGGGGAAACCCUGAUCCAGCAAUACCGCGUGUGUGAAGAAGGCCUUCGGGUUGUAAAGCACUUUUAGCAGGAAAGAAAGGCCGUGCGCUAAUACCGCAUGGUUCUGACGUUACUGGCANAAAAAGCACCGGCUAACUCCGUGCCAGCCGCCGCGGUAAUAC
rnacentral:rRNA from 1 species